AUGGCCCCUUCCUCUGCUUCUGAUGGGCCCUGGAAUCUAGUAAAGGGCUACAGGGCAGAGGGAAAGAGACGGGAGAGACCCGCAGGGGACCUUCUACAGAAACCCACCAGGGCCCUCUGCUCCGCUCAGCUCUCCUCCCCUGGGUGGCGCCUCCAUCCUGCAGACACCUGCCUGCCUCGCUGGGAAUGCCUGCCAAGAGGACAGGAAGCUGAACAGCAGUUGGAAUCCAUCCCGCCUUCCAGAGUGUGUCUGUCUGUCUGGGGCUUCCUCUGCACAUCCCCGCGUGGUGGAGGCUGGCAGCAUGAUUCAUAGUCUCUUCUUAUCUCUGCUUCCAUCUCAACCCAGAACCCAAGCCCUGGAGCCUGCUGGUCACAGACCAACAAUAAGUGAAAAUGAGGACUUUUCAUGCAGACAGGAAGGGAGCCCCCUCGAAGUCAAAGGGGCUUUACAAAGGGAGGCGGGAGGAAAGGGAAGCGGGAGGAGGCGGGGUGGGGGCAGAAACAGGGGCCCACUUCCUACAGGCUGGUGGAGCCCGCUGUAUUGGCUGCUGAAGCAGUUGGUUUCUCCACUUUGAAAAGACGAUAAAGCCCAUUCCUGUAAUACACAACUCAACCGCGGGACAAGGGCUGGGUGCAGACAGAGAACUCCAAAACAAACGUGCUUGUUUUCCAAGCAGAAACCAUCGGCUCCCAACUCGCCCUCCCCAGCCCCCACCUGUAGGUAGGUCCUAACGCCCCACCGUACCCCACCUGAGCAACCGAGGGGCAGCCUGCAGACAGGUCCACCCAGCAGCCGGCCCCAAGCUAAGCUCAGUCCUCGAAAGCCCAAGGAACCGCCGCCCACCCGAGCACCUCGGCCUCCCGGAGACUCGCCCCCCGGGCACUAGAGUUGGCUCUUCAGCGAGUGGGAGACUAAGCAAGGGCGCUUGCCGGACGCCCCAACGAAGGGCAGCGCGUUUCAGAACUCAGAACCAAAAGCAUCACACCACAGCAACUCCCUCAUUUAAAAGAGGCGGAGCCAGUAUCAGGAGGAAAGAGAACUCCCCGAGGUAACACAGCCAGCGGGCUGGACCGGCUCCGGGAGGCACAGGCAGGCGGGCGACGAGAGCAUCUCGCCGCUCCCGCGUCAUCUCGGCUCCAGACCCCGGGCGGGUAGUACACACCCCGAACCCCACUCCGGGCCUCCCCCAACCCCGGCGCGGCGCGCUGCGUUACCUUCCUCGGAACUGGACGCUGCGCGCCUCCUCUCCCGCGACGGGGUGCAGGCGGCUCUGCCCCCCGCACUCGCCCGGCGAUCCAGGUACCGCCCGGCAGCUGUCCGCACAGGGCGGCGCGUGCGAGCUCCUGGGGCGGGCGCGGGGCCACUCCCGGACGCGCCGGCCAAUACCUCCCCGCCCGCCCCGCGCCCUGCCCCGGCCCGGCCCCGCGCGUGGGCUCGGGCCUUCUCUCCCGCCCUUCUCCACCCCUCUCCGCCCCUCUCCUGUUUAAUUCUCUCCCCCUGGGCUGCACUUCUUGGCCUCCAUCUCAGGCGUAACUUACCCCGAAACAACUUUUUCACUUGCAGAUCAAGACCGCAACACGGUUAUUUUUCGAUUCCUGUGCUUUAGGGGUCCUUGGAGUCCGAGAGCGUGGAGCGCCAGAAGCCCUUCCACUCUAAGAUCGGAGGUCAGCUCCCCACCCGCCCCCGCGCGGGAGAAAGGGGCGCAAAGUGGUACCCGACAAGAUGCUUUCACCCCGGAUGUCAGUUUCCUCACCAGUGAAAUACAUAGAAGUACUUCGCAGGUUGUGGUGGUGGUGGUGGUGAUUUAGUCGCUAAGUCGUGUCCGAUUCUUGCGACCCCAUGAACUGUAGCUCACCAGGCUCCUCUGUCCAUGGAAUUUUCCAGGCAAGAAUACUGGAGUGGGUUGCCAUUUCCUUCUCCAGGGGAUCUUCCCAACCCAGGGAUCAGACCCUGGUCUCCUGCAUUGCAGGCAGAUUCUUUACCGACUGAGCUAUGUGGGAAGUCCAUCACAGGUUGUAGGGGAAAUUAAAUGAGCGGAUGAUUUAAAAAUACCUUAUACAGGGUCUUCCCUGGAGGUCCAGUGGUUAAGACACCGCGCUUCCACUGCAUGGGGCACAGGUUCCAUCCUUAGUGGGGGAGGUAAGAUUCCCACAUGCAGCGUGGCUUGGCCAAAAAUGGGGAGAGGGAGGGCGGGAGUCUAUGUAUUUUAUAUGUAUAUACAGUAAUACCUGGAUAAAUGGUGAGGGCGGUGUGUUCGGUCUGACUACCCAGUGGGGGCGCAGUGAGGACGGGCACACUGCUGGAAGGUGCUGGCUGCUGCCGAGGCAGGCACGCCUAAAAACACAAUAUUGUAUCUUGGCCAGUUAAAAAAAAGUUACCGAUGAUAAAGCCAGCUCAGGCAAACCUGGGAAACUGGUGAACUUUAAGGCGGCUCUGCCCCCGCACUCGCCCGGCGAUCCAGGUACCGCCCGGCAGCUGUCCGCACAGGGCGGCGCGUGCGAGCUCCUGGGGCGGGCGCGGGGGCCACUCCCGGACGCGCCGGCCAAUACCUCCCGCCCGCCCCGCGCCCUGCCCCGGCCCGGCCCCCGCGCGUGGGCUCGGGCCUUCUCUCCCGCCCUUCUCUCCACCCCUCUCCGCCCCUCUCCUGUUUAAUUCUCUCCCCCUGGGCUGCACUUCUUGGCCUCCAUCUCAGGCGUAACUUACCCCGAAACAACUUUUUCACUUGCAGAUCAAGACCGCAACACGGUUAUUUUUCGAUUCCUGUGCUUUAGGGGUCCUUGGAGUCCGAGAGCGUGGAGCGCCAGAAGCCCUUCCACUCUAAGAUCGGAGGUCAGCUCCCCACCCGCCCCCGCGCGGGAGAAAGGGGCGCAAAGUGGUACCCGACAAGAUGCUUUCACCCCGGAUGUCAGUUUCCUCACCAGUGAAAUACAUAGAAGUACUUCGCAGGUUGUGGUGGUGGUGGUGGUGAUUUAGUCGCUAAGUCGUGUCCGAUUCUUGCGACCCCAUGAACUGUAGCUCACCAGGCUCCUCUGUCCAUGGAAUUUUCCAGGCAAGAAUACUGGAGUGGGUUGCCAUUUCCUUCUCCAGGGGAUCUUCCCAACCCAGGGAUCAGACCCUGGUCUCCUGCAUUGCAGGCAGAUUCUUUACCGACUGAGCUAUGUGGGAAGUCCAUCACAGGUUGUAGGGGAAAUUAAAUGAGCGGAUGAUUUAAAAAUACCUUAUACAGGGUCUUCCUGGAGGUCCAGUGGUUAAGACACCGCUUCCACUGCA
rnacentral:lncRNA from 1 species